UCGUCCCGGCAUUUUGCCACGGCUCAUGGGAGCCUGGAGUCCGCUUGACAACUAAUCCCAAGAUUUGGCGUAGGCACUAUUUUUACGAAAGCGACUGCCAUCUGACCUUCCAACCCAGAGGGUAAACUAGGCCUUGUUGGGAUUAGUCCGGUUUCCUCACGAUGUUUUCCUUCGCCGAAAAGCGACUGGUAAAUAUCAAAUGAUAUUUCGUACAUAAGUUCCGAAAAAACUCAUUGGUACGAGCCGGGGUUUGAACCCGCGACCUACGGAUUGCAAGUCGCAUGCUCUUACCGCUAGGCCACCAGCGCUUCCAAACAUUACAACAUUACUUCCAACAUUAUUAAAAAUAUCUUGACACAAUUAGAUGUAUAUUAGCUAUAUUAAUUUUUAACAUACGUCUGCGAUCGAUGCUAUGGUAGCACAUCGUUACUGGCGAAUUUCCAAUAUGACUUGGAACUCCGGUAGCCGUCUAAGAAGUGUAACGUUCUUACGGUAGAUGUCGCUAGGGUCCCCUAGACCCAUAUGGUGAAAAAAUUUGCUGCCUAGGGAUGAGGUCUUGGUGGCUCAGAUGGCAGAGCGCUGGAAUAUCGAUCCAGAGGCCGUGAGUUCAAGUCUCACCCAAGACAGUAAUUUUUCCAUUUUUAAAUUUAUAUUAGCUAUAUUUAAUUAUUAUAGCAGUUAAGGGCAUUAAAAAAUAUGGAAAUUAUUUUCCGCUCCAAAUUCUAACCCUUAACCCCCUUAUUCGUAAACGUGUACUAAAGUUGCGAUGCCGCUGAUCAUUUGUCCCUUUCCAUCAUACCAAUACGUCGGAAAGGGACAAACGAUGAUCAGCGGCAUCGUAACUUUAGUACACGUUUAUGAAUAAGGGGGUAAAUGUAUAGUGUUGCCAAAUGUCUACAAAGCAUUAGACAGCUCACAGAUAAAAAAAAAGGCUUACGUUAUUGAACGCACCUUUAUACCAAAUAUAUAAAAAAAUCAUGCAUUUAAGGGUAAAUUAUAAAAUCGAAAAACAUCAAACGAAGAUAUAUUAGCUAUGGUACAUACAUCAAAUUAUGUAAAAAUAUUUUUUAAUAAUGUUAAUAUGCAGAGAGGAAAAUGGGGACUAUUGUAUGGAGAAACGGCCGCCCCUUUCCUCUUAACGGCCGGUUAGCAAUCGUCACAAAAUUGACGGUCAAUGUUAAACACCAUACAUUUUGUCAAAAAAGUGACCAUUAGACGACUUAGGCCCUCAGCACACGGAGCGUAAGCGUAAGAGACGCGUAAGCGUAUCGUAAUACGCGCGUUGAACGAGAGCGCUAUUAGCACGAACAAGUUCAAACAAAGCGAAGCGUCGUCGUAGCGUAUGAGGUUUCUGACGCGUAGCGCAAUAUAGGCGUAAAAAACAAAACUUCUGACAUAAUCAAACAUUAAAAAAUCCUUAUCUGAGAAAAAAGUAAGAUCGUUGAUAGGGACCGUGCGCGUUGGAGGGUCUGCCAUCUUGUGGCCUGAAUCGGAACCAUAAACAUGCACAUUUACACGUCACGUGUUUUCUUGUGCAUAGUAGGUUCUGCCAUCUUGUGGGCUACAUCGGAACAAAAAACAUACAUUUACGCCUCGCGCCAAAAAUCUGACGGCUCCUGUGCUGCCUCCUACAGUUCAUGCACGCUCCCUAUACAUCCGUCGAAGACAUCUGACGCCAGUGACGCCAUUUUUUCAACUAAUGAGAUUUCAGUAUUUCACUUAUAAAACGAUAACUUACGAGACGCUUGGUGCUCAGAGACCCUAGUGUAAAUUUAUUCGCGUUUGCGUUAAGUAUCAUUUUGUAUGGGAUUUAGAAACAGCGCGCCAAGCGGGACGUUUUGGAAACUCAAAAUCCCAUACUAAAUGAGACUUAAUGCAAAUGCGUACGUCACGGCUCGCUAUCGAAUAAAUUUACAUUAGGGGUACAGAACUCGUAACGUUAUUACGAUACGCUUACGCGAUGCUUACGGUUACGCUCCGUGUGCUGAAGGCCUUAAACACAAGUCGCGCUUUAAACUACAAGUUUUCCUAUAAUGAAAAUGCCCUUAAAUUUAAAAUUGUAUUUGUUUAUUUUUGUAUUAGUUUCGUUUAGUUUAGGCCCAGAAUGCAUUACAAUGUACACUUCUUUUUAAUCUAAGGGUAGUAUCUCACCUGUCUCAUUCCUUGGUCCAAUGUGCAUUGCGUCUCACUCUCUCAUUAAGCAAAAUGUGAGACGCAAAUACACAUUGGACCAAUAAAUCGGACAGGUGGAACACCUAAUUACCUUUCGUAAUCAAAUAAAGUGGCAUUUCUUUUCAAACAAACGAAAUUGAUCCCAAUUUACUACACAACAAGGUUCAAAUUAAAAAUAGGAGAAAUUUGUACGGUGAGCCUUACGAGGUUCUAACUUUGCCUUGAUUGUUUACUAGGAACGUAAAGGCAAUGAUUUUUUAAUAGAUAUGAAUAAUAUGUAUUGCGUCAUAUUUUACUUUUUAUUUUAGAUGUUUACAAAUUUUCUGUUUUUCAACAGUACAUAAGGCUUCUUAUAGUUUAGGUAUAUUUGAAGACCAAAUGAAUUUUUCGAGAUAGAAUGUAAAAUGUAUUGUUUUUAUAUUACGUCGGUGGUAAACGAGCAUACGGCCCGCCUGAUUUUUUUAUACUACGUCGGUGGCAAACAAGCAUACGGCCUGCCUGAUGGUAAGCAGUCUCCGUAGCCUAUGUACACCUGCAACUCCAGAGGAGUUACAUGCGCGUUGCCGACCCUAACCCCACCCCCCUCGUUGAGCUCUGGCAACCUUACUCACCGGCAGGAACACAACACUAUGAGUAGGGUCAAGUGUUAUUUGGCUGCGGUUUUCUGUAAGGUGGAGGUACUUCUCCAGUUGGGCUCUGCUCUAGAUCUGGAAUGACAUCUGCUGUGCUGUGCCCUACCACACAAGGCGAGAUGACAUUCACAUUGCCCAUACCUCUCUUUUGGACGUAGUUUAAGGACAUACCCGGGUCCGGACGUAGUUUAAGGACAUACCCGGGUCCAACCUUACUCACCGGUAGGAACACAACACUAUAGGGGGAACAUAAUCGAGUCCAGCCGUUUUUGAGUUAUUGCAAAAAGUCUUUUUAGUAAAAAAACUCCCUUAUGAUUGUAACGUACAUGAUAAUUACUAAAAGCCCCCGCUUAGCCUAUUCUGACAGAAUGGUAACUACGGAACCCUACACUGAGCAUGGCCCGACAUGGUCUUGGCCGAUUUUUAGUAGGGAGAAAUGCGGAGUGACUCACGCCUAGUACAGUCAGCAUCAAAAGUAGCGGAUGAAACAACGCGCCAAAAGUAUCUGAUAUUCGGGAUAACUUUUCCAAAUAUAGAUAAAUUUCUAGAAUUCGCGUUCCAAAGUAUAUCUAUUACAGUUUUUGUUGUUCUAUAUUAAAGACAUCACUUUUUGUUAAGCUGUUACA